rnacentral:rRNA from 1 species
UACGAAGGUCCCAAGCGUUGUUCGGAAUCACUGGGCGUAAAGAGUAUGUAGGCGGCGUGGAAAGUCAGGUGUGAAAGCCCGGGGCUCAACCCCGGAAUUGCACCCGAUACUCCCACGCUAGAGUAAUGGAGGGGAGUCUGGAAUUUACGGUGUAGCAGUGAAAUGCGUGGAUAUCGUAAGGAACACUAGUGGCGAAGGCGAGACUCUGGACAUUUACUGACGCUGAGAUACGAAGGCUAGGGGAGCGAACAGG